UGGGAAUUUUGGACAAUGGGCGCAAGCCUGAUCCAGCAAUGCCGCGUGAGUGAAGAAGGCCUUGGGUUGUAAAGCUCUUUUGUCAGGGAAGAAACGGCUGUGGCUAAUAUCCAUGGCUAAUGACGGUACCUGAAGAAUAAGCACCGGCUAACUACGCGCCAG
rnacentral:rRNA from 1 species